UCCGGUGUAGCUCAGCGGUAGAGCAGCUGACUGUUAAUCAGCGGGUCGCUGGUUCGAAUCCAGCCGCCGGAG
rfam:Candidatus Sungbacteria bacterium RIFCSPLOWO2_02_FTLL_48_13b rifcsplowo2_02_scaffold_18831, whole genome shotgun sequence.